UUUUUUUUUUUUUUUUUUUUUUUUUUUGUCUUUUCUAGGGCUGCACCAUCGGCAUAUGGAGGUUCCCAGGCUAGGAGUAGAAUUGGAGCAGCAGCUGCCAGCCUACACCAUAGCCACAGCAACAUAGGAUCUGAGCUGUGUCUGCGACCUACACCACAGCUCACAGCAAUGCCAGAUCCUUACCCUACUGAGCAAGGCCAGGGAUUGAACACACAUCCUCAUGGAUGCUAGGCAGGUUCGUUACCACUGAGCCACAACAGGAACUCUGAAAUUCCCAUCUUUACUUGCUUUUUUUCAAAGAAUAUCUUUUUUAUUUUUAUUUUUUGGCCAUGUCUGAGGCAUGUGGAAAUUCUUGGGCCAGGGAUUGAACCUGCACCAUAGCAGCGACCCUAGACGUAGCAGUGAUUACACUGGAUCCUUAACCCACUGUGACACAAGGAAACUCCAAGAAUAAUUUUUUUUAAAAGAUGCAAUUUGUCACUGACAGGAAUACUUAGGAUCUCCCUUUUUCUUCUUUCUCAUUCUCUAAAAGGUGCCUCAAAGCAUAUUCUCCAAACAGCACAACCCUUCUGACCCCUAGUCUGCUUACUAGUGUUUUAUUUCUACCUUCUUUUGCCCUCCUUUUAGUUCUUUAUUCUGAAUAUUAUUUUCAAUUUUAAAUUCUCUCCAAUUUCCCCUUAGCCUGCAUUCUCCAUAACAAAAGAGACUCUGCAAGCCAACAUCCCACCCUGCUCUCCUCCAGCCUGGACUGAUGCAGACUCUCCCUCUCCAUUCUCUUAGGCCUGAAUCACAAAACCUUAGAACCGUACUAUUAUCUGAAAUUUAGUAGAGCCUUUGUAAAGUUAAUGUUUCUCCAAAGAUGGAUCUUAAAAUGUCUCAACCCCAUCGAUUUGGAGCCAAAAUCACGUAAUUUAACUUGAAUGCUCAGUGACCCAAGAAGAAGAUUAUUAGCAGCUGGACAUUUUUCCCCUUCAGAUUUUUUUUCCAGGAUAGAAUUCCCAUCAGUCUUCAGUCUUCUAAGUAAUACAUACUUUUAAAUGGUUAGGCUGUCAAAAAACAAAAACGAAAAAACCUUAGAACCAGAGUAGAAAGGGAGAAAAUUCUUCCAAGACAUAGAGGAGAGGUAAGGACACACAGCACAUACACAAGAUUAGUAAAUUUUGUUAUUAUAAACCAACAUCAUCACAGUAAAAAAAAUUAACAAAAAUAAAUGUCUUGUGUCUGCAUCAACCCCAAGAGUUGUUGUAAAGAUUAAAUGAGCUGAUGUAUAGAACCAGACAUAUAAAAGAACUUCCACACAUAUAUGACUUUUUCUGCACUUCCUAAUUCUUAAUCCCAGCUAUUCAUUCAAUGAACAUUUUCUGAAAGCCUAUUUUGGAUGCUAUAGGAGAUCUAAAGUAUAUAAAGCAUGAUCCUUUAAGCAGAAAGUCAGAAAUCAAUCCUGGAGAUAGCAAUAGCAGCUUGAAGCCUGCAUGCUCAAGCGAACCUGCAAAGGCCUUGGACUAGUCAAUAAGAAACCCAACAAAUGGGAAAAACAUUGAGUUGGUAGAAUGAUUUGAACUUGACUGGUGAUUUGAGGUAGCGAGUGGAGUAGAAAAGAAGAGAGAACUGAAUUUCAGGUUUAUAGCCUGGAGUUUGAGAAAAGACUGAAGGAACCGUUUGGACAUAUGAUAAUGAGUUUGAAGAAACAGUAGAACCUUCAUAGAAGCCUAUGACGGGAACUCCCAAAUCAGGGGAUAUUCUUAAGCAGAAAGACUGAACUAGAAAUCAUAAAGGAAACUAUGAAGUAGCAGGGCAAGGAAGGGAAGAGGUGGUUCCUACCUGUGAGUCCAAGGCCUCGCUGUUUUAGACGGAGCAGCCCCCGCCCCCAGUGUGGUGGUCAGGGCAAUGAUUGACAUCCCUGGGAAGUUAAAUUUUCAUACUUUCCAGAGAACGUGUUGCCAAGACCAGCCCCAUUGGGGUGGGCUGGGAAGACUGGAGGAGAGAGCUGCGUCUGCGACCUAUACCACAGCUCACGGCAACACCGGAUCCUUAACCCACUGAGCAAGGGCAGGCAGGGACCAAACCCGAAACCUCAUGGUUCCUAGUCGGAUUCGUUAACCACUGUGCCAUGACAGGAACUCCUCCAUGUCUUGACUAUAGUGAAUAGUGCUGCAAUGAACAUAGGGGUGCAUGUGUCUUUUUCAAUGAAAGUUUUGUCCGGAUAUAUGCCCAAGAAUGGGAAUGCUGGAUGAUACGGUACUUCUAUUUUUAAUUUUCUGAGGUACCUCCAUGCUUAUUUCCACAGAGACUGUACCAAUUUAUAUUCCCACCAACAGUGUAGCAGGGUUCCCUUUUCUCCACAUCCUCUCUAGCAUUUGUUAUUUGUAGACUUAUUAAUGAUGGUCAUUCUGACUGGUGUGAGGUGGUACCUCAUUGUAGUUUUGACUUGCAUUUCUCUGAUAAUUUGUGAUGUCGAGCAUUUUUUAAAGUGUCUGUUGGCCAUCUGUAUGUCUUUGAAAAAAUGUCUAGUCAGGUCUUCCGCCCAUUUUUCAAUUGGGUAAUUGGGGGUUUUUUUGCGGUUGAGCUGUACAAGUUGUUUAUAUAUUUUGGAGAUUAAGCCCUUGUUGGUUGCAUUGCUAGCAACUAUUUUCUCCCAUUCCAUAGGUUGUCUUUUUGGUUUUUCUUAUGGUUUCCUUUGCUGUGCAAAAGCUUACAAGUUUGAUUAGGUUCCAUUGAUUUAUUUUUGUUUUCAUUUGUAUUGCCUUGGGAGACUGACCUAAAAAAUAUUUGUAAGGUUGAUAUCAGAGAAUGUUUUGCCCAUGUUCUCUCAUAGGAGUUUUUGGUGUCUUGUCUCACAUUUAAAUCUUUAAGCCAUUUUUAGUUUAUUUUUGUGCAUGGUGUAAGGGUGUGUUCUAGUUUCAUUGAUUUAUAUGCAGCUGUCCAGUUUUCCCAGCACCACGUGCUGAAGAGACUUUUUCCCAUUCUUUAUUCUUGCCUCCUUUGUUGAAGAUUAAUUGACCAUAGGUCUCUGGGCUAAUUUCUGGGUUCUCUAUUCUGUUCCAUUGCUCUGUAUGUCUGUUUUUUACCAGUACCACACUGUCUUGACUACUAUAGGUUUGUAAU
rnacentral:lncRNA from 1 species